AGAUGCAGUGACUGAAACCUGGUGUGUUCCAGAAAAAGGUCCUGAAACUACUGGUCGACAUCCGCCAUCGCCUGAAGGAAACCAGAAGGGGUCAUGAAAUUCGGUUCCACAGCCACUGAGGUGUAUGUACAUCAAGGUGAACCUCAAGCACGCGUCGCAAAGACUUAAAUUCACUUCGCCUACAAGCCUACAGGACUUGAAUUAAGAGUUUUAAAGGGAUAGUUCACUUUGAAAUUAUUUUUUGGAAUGUUUUGGCUUACGUCAAGGGCAUCAGUCAGUCAUAUAAUGGAAGUCUAUGGGGAUCUCUUAAAAGAGCAUGCACAGAGAAGUACAAAUUAAACAUGAUUUAA